rnacentral:rRNA from 1 species
GCGUGGAUGACGAAGGCNUUCGGGUGNUAAAAUCCUUUCCGGGGCGAUGAGGAAGGACACUAGCCUGGGAAUAAGCGUCGGCUAACUACGUGCCAGCAGCCGCGGUAAGACGUAGGACGCGAGCGUUAUCCGGAUUUACUGGGCGUAAAGCGCCUGCAGGCGGUCAGGUAAGUCGGUUGUGAAAGCCCCGUGCUCAACGCGGGGAGGCCAAGCGAUACUGCGUGACUUGAGGGCGGAAGAGGGGAGUGGAAUUCCCGGUGUAGCGGUAAAAUGCGCAGAUAUCGGGAGGAACACCAGUGGCGAAGGCGGCUCCCUGGACCGCACCUGACGCUCAGAGGCGAAAGCUAGGGGAGCGAACAGGAUUAGAGACCCUGGUAGUCCUAGCCCUAAACGCUGGAUGCUAGGUGUAGGGCUGAUGAGGCUCUGUGCCGGAGCGAACGCGAUAAGCAUCCCGCCUGGGAACUACGGCCGCAAGGCUAAAACUCAAACGAAUUGACGGGGACCCGCACAAGCAGCGGAGCGUGUGGUUUAAUUCGAUGCUACACGAAGAACCUUACCUGGGUUCGACAUGUUGGUGGUACCGAACCGAAAGGGGAGGGACCCUUCGGGGAGCCAACACAGGUGCUGCAUGGCUGUCGUCAGCUCGUGCCGUGAGGUGUCGGGUUAAGUCCCGUAACGAGCGCAACCCUUGCUCUUAGUUAUACGUGUCUAAGGGGACUGCCGGCGACAAGCCGGAGGAAGGUGGGGAUGACGUCAAGUCAGCAUGGCCUUGAUAUCCAGGGCUACACACGCUACAAUGGCCGGUACAAAGGGCAGCCAAGCCGCGAGGUGGAGCGAAUCCCAGCAAAGCCGGUCCCAGUUCGGAUUGCAGGCUGCAACCCGCCUGCAUGAAGUUGGAGU